rnacentral:rRNA from 1 species
UACGUAGGGGGCUAGCGUUUGUCCGGAAUCAUUGGGCGUAAAGAGCGCGUAGGCGGCUGGAAUAGUCCGGUGUGAAAUCCACAGGCUUAACCUGUGAAUGCCGCUGGAAACUAUCUGGCUAGAGUCCGGAAGGGGCGAGUGGAAUUCCUGGUGUAGCGGUGAAAUGCGCAGAUAUCAGGAGGAACACCAAUGGCGAAGGCAGCUCGCUGGGACGGUACUGACGCUGAGGCGCGAAAGCGUGGGGAGCGAACAGG